rnacentral:rRNA from 1 species
CGCAUCUGUGCAUGCAGCAUAUCAAUAAGCGGAGGAAAAGAAACUAACAAGGAUUCCCCUAGUAACGGCGAGUGAAGCGGGAAGAGCUCAAAUUUGAAAUCUUAAAGGGUUUCCCUUUACGAAUUGUAGUUUAAAGAAGUGUUUUCUGUUGAGGUUUUGGUAAAAGUUCUUUGGAAUAGGACAUCAUAGAGGGUGAGAAUCCCGUAUUUGACCUUUACUUUCAACUUUGUGAUACACUUUCAAAGAGUCGGAUUGUUUGGGAAUGCAGUCCAAAAUGGGUGGUAAAUUUCAUCUAAAGCUAAAUAUUGGCGAGAGACCGAUAGCGAACAAGUACCGUGAGGGAAAGAUGAAAAGAACUUUGAAAAGAGAGUUAAACAGUACGUGAAAUUGUCAAAAGGGAAGCGUUUGACACCAGUGUUGUUUUUCUGAAAAUCAAUUAAAGAACUGUUUAUGCUAAGUUGUUUAGACUUUAUCAGCUAACUGUUUAGUUUUGAGCUUUUCUUUAAUGCACUUUUCAGUUAACAAGUCAACAUCAAUUUCUUUUGCUGUAAAAAAGCUUGAGGAAGGUGGCUUGAGAUUCGUCUUAAGUGUUUAUAGCCUCUUGCCUAUGCAGUCGGAGAGAUUGAGGUCUGCAGCGUAGAUCCUUCGGGGCUAAAUGCAUUUGUGCUAAGUUAUAACAGUUUUAUAGACAACUUGUUGACUAUGAUUUGUCUUGUAGCUUACUCGCUUAUGUUAUUUUACCUACGCUUAGGAUGUUGACGCGCGUGUGUGCGUG